CUUUGUUUAUGCAAAUUACACACCCUGUGUGCCUAGAAUCUGAUGUACAUAAAAAAUGUGGUCCAUGGUGCCUCGUGAUCAAGUAUUCAAUGUUGGUUCUCUUAUAUCCAAGCGCUGUUUAAGAGCUGGCAAUCAACUAUGGUCAAUUCUCAAGGUUUACAGCUACUGCUCAAUGAAUGAACAAGCAUUACAUUUCACCACUGCUGAUGUAUCUAAGUUCAAGUAGAUGCAGAUGACUCAUCAGGGACUAUAUAUAUAUACACUAUUUUUUGUGCUCAAGCAACACAAUUCAUUUACAUCCUCAAGCAUCUGAAUUCAAAUAUUUCUUUCUCAUACAAGCCUUUUGACAAUACUCAGAAUACUAUUUGUUUGUAGAGCAAAAAAUACAAUGGGUUUCCGCAUACCAGGUAUUAUUAGACAGCCAUCAUUUUCUGCUGUCAAAGCAAACAAGGGACUUGAAGUUCCAAAAGGCCAUCUUGCAGUGUAUGUUGGAGAUAAGAUGAGGCGGUUUGUGAUCUUUUCAAGAAUUGCUAAGUCGAGCAGAAGAAGAGUUUGGAUAUGAUCAUCCAGCUGGUGGUCUUACAAUUCCAUGCAAGGAGGAUGACUUUCUACAUCAUGCUAUAGUGGUGCUCGGAUAGAUUAGUUGAGAAAAAAAUUGUAGAG
rnacentral:sRNA from 1 species